rnacentral:misc_RNA from 1 species
GUAGGUGAACCUGCGGAAGGAUCAUUAUCGUGGGGCUUCGGCUCUAACGAGAUAGCACCCUUGCCUUUUUAGUACCUUCUGUUGCCUCGGCGUCUGCCUCACGGCGGCGCCAACGGGGCCAAACAAAUAAACUCUUUUAUCAUGAACUAGUCUGAAGCAAAAACAAAAGUUAAAACUUUCAACAACGGAUCUCUUGGUUCUGGCAUCGAUGAAGAACGCAGCAUCUGACUGACUCGACAGCUGACAAUCU